rnacentral:misc_RNA from 1 species
UUGAACAAACCGGCGGGCUAAGUUGCUGGCCUCCUCGGAGGCAUGUGCACGGUCCGCCAUUGUUUCAUCCUUCUCUUCCACCUGUGCACUUCUGUGGGUCCAUUCCAGCGCACACUGUGUGCUGGACUCUGGUGCCUACGUUUUCACUAUCCACACCAUUGAAUGUUCAGAAUGUAUGUAUUGGGCUUCAUGCCUAUAAAACCUUAUA